UACGGAGGGUGCAAGCGUUGUCCGGAAUCACUGGGCGUAAAGGGCGCGUAGGCGGCUCAUGAAGGCUGUGGUGAAAGUCCGGGGCUUAACCUCGGAUCGGCCGUGGCGACUCGUGGGCUGGAGCACUGUAGAGGCGGGUGGAAUUCCGGGUGUAGCGGUGGAAUGCGUAGAUAUCAGGAGGAACACCGGUGGUGUAAACGGCUUUCUGGACCAUAACUGACACUGAGGCACGAAAGCGUGGGUAGCAAACAGG
rnacentral:rRNA from 1 species